rnacentral:rRNA from 1 species
GACAGAGGGUGCUAGCGUUGUUCGGAAUCACUGGGCGUAAAGGGCGCGUAGGCGGCCGAUCAAGUCGGGGGUGAAAGCCUGUGGCUUAACCACAGAAUGGCCUCGAUACUGUUUGGCUUGAGACCGGAAGAGGUUAGUGGAACUGCGAGUGUAGAGGUGAAAUUCGUAGAUAUUCGCAAGAACACCAGUGGCGAAGGCGGCUGACUGGUCCGGUUCUGACGCUGAGGCGCGAAAGCGUGGGGAGCAAACAGGG